rnacentral:rRNA from 1 species
CCUACGGGGGGCUGCAGUGAGGAAUAUUGGUCAAUGGCCGGAAGCCUGAACCAGCCAAGUAGCGUGAAGGAUGACGGUGCUACGCAUUGUAAACUUCUUUUGUCAAGGGACAAAAUCAGGCACGUGAGCCUGUCCGUGGGUACUUGAAGAAAAAGGAUCGGCUAACUCCGUGCCAGCAGCCGCGGUAAUACGGAGGAUGCGAGCGUUAUCCGGAUUUAUUGGGUUUAAAGGGUGCGUAGGUGGAUUGUUAAGUCAGCGGGAAAAGUUUGGGGCUAAACCUCGGCGAGCCGUUGAAACUGGCAGUCUUGAGAAGACGAGAGGUAGGCGGAAUGCGCAGUGUAGCGGUGAAAUGCUUAGAUAUUACGCAGAACUCCGAUUGCGAAGGCAGCAUACCGGCGGCGAACUGACGCUGAGGCACGAAAGCGUGGGUAUCGAACAGGAUUAGAUACCCCAGUAGUC